rnacentral:rRNA from 1 species
UUGAAGAGUUUGAUCAUGGCUCAGAUUGAACGCUGGCGGCAGGCCUAACACAUGCAAGUCGAGCGGUAGCACAGAGAGCUUGCUCUCGGGUGACGAGCGGCGGACGGGUGAGUAAUGUCUGGGAAACUGCCUGAUGGAGGGGGAUAACUACUGGAAACGGUAGCUAAUACCGCAUAACGUCGCAAGACCAAAGUGGGGGACCUUCGGGCCUCAUGCCAUCAGAUGUGCCCAGAUGGGAUUAGCUAGUAGGUGGGGUAACGGCUCACCUAGGCGACGAUCCCUAGCUGGUCUGAGAGGAUGACCAGCCACACUGGAACUGAGACACGGUCCAGACUCCUACGGGAGGCAGCAGUGGGGAAUAUUGCACAAUGGGCGCAAGCCUGAUGCAGCCAUGCCGCGUGUGUGAAGAAGGCCUUCGGGUUGUAAAGCACUUUCAGCGGGGAGGAAGGCGAUAAGGUUAAUAACCUCAUCGAUUGACGUUACCCGCAGAAGAAGCACCGGCUAACUCCGUGCCAGCAGCCGCGGUAAUACGGAGGGUGCAAGCGUUAAUCGGAAUUACUGGGCGUAAAGCGCACGCAGGCGGUCUGUCAAGUCGGAUGUGAAAUCCCCGGGCUCAACCUGGGAACUGCAUUCGAAACUGGCAGGCUAGAGUCUUGUAGAGGGGGGUAGAAUUCCAGGUGUAGCGGUGAAAUGCGUAGAGAUCUGGAGGAAUACCGGUGGCGAAGGCGGCCCCCUGGACAAAGACUGACGCUCAGGUGCGAAAGCGUGGGGAGCAAACAGGAUUAGAUACCCUGGUAGUCCACGCCGUAAACGAUGUCGAUUUGGAGGUUGUGCCCUUGAGGCGUGGCUUCCGGAGCUAACGCGUUAAAUCGACCGCCUGGGGAGUACGGCCGCAAGGUUAAAACUCAAAUGAAUUGACGGGGGGCCCGCACAAGCGGUGGAGCAUGUGGUUUAAUUCGAUGCAACGCGAAGAACCUUACCUGGUCUUGACAUCCACAGAACUUUCCAGAGAUGGAUUGGUGCCUUCGGGAACUGUGAGACAGGUGCUGCAUGGCUGUCGUCAGCUCGUGUUGUGAAAUGUUGGGUUAAGUCCCGCAACGAGCGCAACCCUUAUCCUUUGUUGCCAGCGGUUAGGCCGGGAACUCAAAGGAGACUGCCAGUGAUAAACUGGAGGAAGGUGGGGAUGACGUCAAGUCAUCAUGGCCCUUACGACCAGGGCUACACACGUGCUACAAUGGCAUAUACAAAGAGAAGCGACCUCGCGAGAGCAAGCGGACCUCAUAAAGUAUGUCGUAGUCCGGAUUGGAGUCUGCAACUCGACUCCAUGAAGUCGGAAUCGCUAGUAAUCGUAGAUCAGAAUGCUACGGUGAAUACGUUCCCGGGCCUUGUACACACCGCCCGUCACACCAUGGGAGUGGGUUGCAAAAGAAGUAGGUAGCUUAACCUUCGGGAGGGCGCUUACCACUUUGUGAUUCAUGACUGGGGUGAAGUCGUAACAAGGUAACCGUAGGGGAACCUGCGGUUGGAUCACCUCCUU